rnacentral:rRNA from 1 species
CAGCAGCCGCGGUAAUACGAAGGGGGCUAGCGUUGCUCGGAAUGACUGGGCGUAAAGGGCGCGUAGGCGGUUUUGACAGUCAGAUGUGAAAUUCCUGGGCUUAACCUGGGGGCUGCAUUUGAGACGUCAAGACUAGAGUGUGAGAGAGGGUUGUGGAAUUCCCAGUGUAGAGGUGAAAUUCGUAGAUAUUGGGAAGAACACCGGUGGCGAAGGCGGCAACCUGGCUCAUUACUGACGCUGAGGCACGAAAGCGUGGGGAGCAAACAGGAUUAGAUACCCCCGUAGUCCCUGUCUCUUAUAC